rnacentral:tRNA from 1 species
GCCCCCAUAGCACAAUGGUAGUGCAACGCAUUGGUAAUGCGUAGAUACCUGGUCAGUACAGGUUGGGGGCACCA